rnacentral:lncRNA from 1 species
UGACUUGUUUAUGGAAGAUUUAUUCAAAAUAGCCAAAAAUAGAAACAACCCAAAAGCCCAUCAGAAGAAUGAACAAAAAUGGCAUAUUCAUACAGUGGAAUACCAUACAGAAAUAAAGGAGCAAGCUAUUUGAUAAAAGCAACAACAUGAGUGAAAGUCAAAGACAUUUUGGUGAGCAAAAGAAGCCAAACACAAAAGAAUACCUAUAAUUUGAGAUUUCACUCACAUGUGGAAUUGAAGAAGAAAAAAAAUAAACAUAGGGGAAGGGAAGGAAAAAUGAAAUAAGAUAAAAACAGGGAGGUAAACCACAAGAGACUCUGAAUCAUAGGAAACAAACUGGGGUUCCUGGAGGGGAAGUGGAGGGGAGGAUGGGGUGACUGAGUGAUGGGCAUUAAGGAGAGCACUUGAUGGAAUGAGCACUGGGUGUUAUAUGCAACUGAUGAAUCACUAAAUUCUACCCCAAAAUUAAUAAUACAUGUUAACUAAAUUAAAUUUAAAUUUAAAAAAUCUACUGUAUGAGUCCAUUUAUACAAAAUUUAAAAACUGGAAAGCUACUGGUUGAGCAGACUGUGGUGACUGGGAAGGGAUAUGAAGGAACUUUCUGGGAUGGCGAAAAUAUUUUAUAACAUUGUAGGAUUGUAUACAACUGUAAAAAUAUAAGCACAUAUUAUUGAGCUAUCCCCUGGAAAUGUUUACAUUUUGCUACACAUAAAUUAUGCUUCAAUUUUAAAAAGGGAAAAAAAGAAUCCCACAUGGAACCCCAAAUAUACGCAACCCAGAUGGGUUCUGGGAACUCCCCAGUCAAAAAGAUCCAGUUUGGAGAGGAGGAAACUCUAUGCCUCCCCAGGAGUUUGGCUGAGCCCUAAGGGUUCAUCCUCUUGAUUCCCUGCUGUCCACUCAAUUUUGCUACACAGCAAUCCAGGGAUGAAAUUCUGACAAUGAGCUCCCUCACACACACACACACGCACACACACACACCCCACAAACACACACACAUCCACUUCUGCCAAGCAUUUUGCAAGUUUAGUCAACUUUUUGCAGAUUUGAGGUUCAAAGUCAUACAGAGUGGUCUCAUCAUAACUGUCUCCCCUUCUUUCUAAAUGCAGAAUAAAAACUGCUUUUCUCAAGCCAAGAUGCCAGCCAAAACCCAGACCACAGAGUCACAGCUUUCUCCCCAAAAGGCCUGGACAAGGAAAAUCUUUCAUGAGAAUAGAGCACUCCUUCUGAAAGGAAUUGUGGGAGAUACACAACUCCCUCUUCUCUAUGCUUAGCCACACUACUCUGGUUGAAGCAAAUAGCAGAGGCAAAGCCUUUAUGGGUAGCUAACUGCUCUUUGCCCCUCCCCAUUUCCUCUCACCCUGGCCUCUAGGCCCCGGGGGAGCUCUGAGAAACCUUGAGAGUCCCUUGAGGGCAAUUUGAAAACCACUGCAGUAGCUCUGGGGAGGAAAGAUUGACAAAACUGUGAGUUUGAGAAAGUAGCCAUUUGCCCUGCAUUUGGAGUUGGAGUAGAGCAGUGAGAGAUUCUAGUUACAUGAGUGUUGAUGGUACUGGAUGCUUUGGGGUCUGCUAAAAGAAUAAAAUUUUUCACCUGUUUUCCAUGACCUAUCUUCAAUCAACCUUACCUCUUACUUUCCCCCUCACCAUGAAGAUAAUGAGGAGUAGUAACUUUGCCCUCCUUUUGGGCACGCAAUUCAAAUGGGGUCUUUACAACCAUUUUUAAGGAAACAUGCUGAUGCAGUGGUAGCUGAGACUCUAAUGGAAAAUAUUAGAGGAAGCAGUAUAAAAGCAAGACCAAAAGGGACACCUGCGUGGCUCAGUGGUUGAGCAUCUGCCUUCAGCUCAGGGCGCGAUCCCAGGGUCUGGGGAUCCAGUCCUGCUUCUCCCUCUGCCUAUGCCUCUCUCUCUGUGUGUCUCAUAAAUAAAUAAAUAAAAUCUUAAAAAAAAAAAAAGCAAGACCAAGAGAUACAUAAACAAGGUGUUUAAAAGGUAGUGCUUCUUUACCUCAGCUUUUUUUGGAUGUACUUACAUACAACAAAGUCUACCCAUUUUAAGUGUACAAUUUCAUGAAUUUUGGUAAUUGUAUAUCAUUGCAUAAUCACGACCACAAUCUAGAUACAGAAUAGUUCCGUCUCCUGAAACAUUUCCUGUGCCCCUUUGCAGUAGUUCCUUUCUCCUACCCCAGCCAGAGCAACCUCUGAUUUGUUUUUGUCGCUAUAAUUUUGCCUUUUCUAGGGUUUCAUAUAAAUGGAAUGAUAUAGUACAUAGUCUUUUGUGUUUGACUUCUUCUACUUGACUUCUUUUCACUUUGAGCUAUUUUUAACCUAUAUUACCUAUAUUAUUAAAUAUAUUACUAUUUUGUCCUUUUUUAUUGUUGAGUAGUACUCUAUAGUAUGGAUUGUUUAAUCUAUUAAACAAUUGUUUAAUCUAUUUACCAGUUGAUUGACAUCUGGAUCACUUUCAGUUUGGGGCUGUUAUGAAUAAUGCAGCUAUGAACAUUUGUACACAAGUCUUUUUGUGGACACAUGUUUUCACUUCUCUUGGGUAAAUACCUAGGAGUGGAAAUGAUGGGGUGUAUAUAUAGUAAGUGAGUGAAUAUUUACCCAGUCAUGGGUGGAAACAUAGCUAGGGAAGUCCAGAGCCCAGAGCCUGUGUCAAAAGCUGUAGAUAAGCUACAAUUCUCAGUAUUUUCAUGAUUCAAGAGUCCUAAGCCAACAACAAAAUAAGACCUACUUUGGAGCCUGUGUAACCUGUGUAACCCAGUAGAGUACCACCCCAUAGGAAAGCCCACAACCCAGCUUCCCACAAGGGAAACCUCCCAUAAAGAUCAUUCCUAAACCUCCCAUAAAGAUCAUUCCUAAACCUCCCAUAAAGAUCAUUCCUGUGGAAGAUGAGCUCAUCAUAUAAAACAUACAAGAAUGUCCAGUUCCAUUAAGAUAGCCAGAAAAUUGAUACCAAAAACAAUAUCCAAUAGAGCAAUCUUAAAGGUAUUUUAAAAUGUGCAUUUAAUUAAUUAGUUAACAUUAGUUAACUAGUUAAUUAGUUAACAUUCAUUGUUCUUUUUUUUAUAUUCAUCGUUCUGCUUUUCUUUUCUGCACAUCCUUGUAUGUGACUCUUCCAUACUACCUUGAGAAAAGCUAGAAUAUUACAGUAGAAAUUCAAAGACAAAAGUAGUAUUUGCUUUAGGUCAGUUUUUGCUUCCAAAAUAAAUUUUUGAGAAUCAACAGGGAAUAUCCAAGAGUAACAGUCACAGAC